rnacentral:rRNA from 1 species
UACAGAGGUCCCAAGCGUUGUUCGGAUUUACUGGGUGUAAAGGGUGCGCAGGCGGACUGGUUAGUCAGGAGUGAAAUCUCGGCGCUCAACGCCGAAACGUCUUUUGAUACUGCCAGUCUUGAAUAAGCGAGAGAUUCGUGGAAUUCCGAGUGUAGCAGUGAAAUGUGUAGAUAUUCGGAAGAACACCAGUGGCGAAGGCAGCGAAUUGGCGCUUUAUUGACGCUCAGGCACGAAAGCAUGGGGAUCAAACAGG